rnacentral:rRNA from 1 species
UACGGAGGGUGCUAGCGUUGUCCGGAAUCACUGGGCGUAAAGGGCGCGUAGGCGGCGCGGAUAGUCGGCGGUGAAAGCCCGGAGCUCAACUCCGGGUCGGCCGUCGAUACUUCCGGGCUUGAGCACUGUAGAGGCAGAUGGAAUUCCGGGUGUAGCGGUGGAAUGCGUAGAGAUCCGGAAGAACACCGGUGGCGAAGGCGGUCUGCUGGGCAGUUGCUGACACUGAGGCGCGACAGCGUGGGGAGCAAACAGG